CAGCACACCUGAGAAAUGUGCAAUGAGGUAGUAAAAAAAGAUCCCAAAGUUUUGUUCCUUCAACUUGAUUUUAACCAGUGUCUCAACGACCCCAAAGUUUAAAAAGUGAUGUCCCAGCGCAACCUCACAAAUUCCACCACAAACGCGCCGUGGAGAAUUCGUUCUAUAUACCCAGUAUCACAACAUUGGGGGGGGGGGAGGUGGCUUGUGAACAUAAUUCCUCCUUGGUUCAUUGUAUGUAAAAUUACUAACGCCAAAUUCGAGUAGUAGCUUGUGUUUCUUGUGCUCAUAACAUAAGUCAUAAUUAUUUUUUUUGAUAGGUAUGUAAGAAGUCAAGACAAUGUUCAUUUGAUUGGAACUGUUGCUGACCAAUCAAAAGUCAGCAAGCUACUUUCAAAAAGUUGUUUUAUCUUAUAAAAUAAGGAAAUUGAACAUUUCUAUUCAUGAUGGUCCGAAAUAGGUUGUGAAUUUGUGCUCAGCAUCCUGUCAAAAAUGUCAGAUACCAAGGAGUGACAUAUCAUAUUGCAUUAAAAAAUUAGAACUAUGGGUGUCUACCAAAAUUUGAUAUUCAAAAAUCGCGACUUUUCGCCAACUUUUCUCUUCAGUAUUACCCACUUACCCCUCAGUUUUCAAAAAAAAAAACAAAAAAAAACGGGUUUCUAAGAAAGUUUCCACUUUUUUAGAGAGUUUUUCAGUUGUCCAAAAACAGUUUUUGUCCACUGUACUAAAAAAAUAUGAAAAAAAAAUUGAAAACUUCAUUUAUAUUAUUCAAUGAAAUGAAUAUUAGGUAUUUAUAGGAAGUACUAAAAUAAAAAAAAAAUGGAUUUUAAGGGGUGUGAUUUAAUACCACGACAAAAAAAGGGCGUCAGCACGACAAGCAUAGGCACUUUCACGCCAGAAAAAUCAUUACCACGACUAAAUUGGAAAUUCCCUACAAUAAAUCGAGCUUACCACGACAUAAAAGGUAUUCCAACGACAAAAUAAUGUAUCAAACAACGAAUUAAAAAAUUCACGACAUUUUAUUACUUUCAACUGCUAUAAGUAUAAGACAACGCACGACAAAAUUUUUCUAUCAAAAACAGGCAUUUCACCGACAGAAAUAAACGUUUAAAAAAUAUUAAAAUGAUACCAAAAAAACGAAAGUAGGUAUGUAAGAAAUUGCUGUUUAUAGAAGUAAUGUUUUGUCAUUUGUGGACUUUGAUGGGCGAGAGGGCGACCCAUCUUCCUGUUUUGACCUCAGGGACAAAGCGAAAGGGGGCUAAGGGGAGACAGUUUGCCCCCCUCCAAAAUUUCAACAAUAUUUUAGUUCCAGUUUUCAAAAAUUCAAAUUUUUUACAAUCAUGUAUUCAAUUAUCGUUUGGUUGCCGACAAAAUCGCCAAUCUAUCCUCAAAAUUCUCAUUUUUUUCCCAAGCUUUUGCCCUCGCUUUGCUUAGGCCAAUUUGGUUCUCUUCUACUGAGUUACAAUUUCACUCAAAUUUUUUUGAAAGAAACCCUCAGUUGAUUAUUUGUCAACAUUUGUACAAAAUGUAAUUUGUAAUUGAACUGAUAAUGUUCCUGUCCUGUAUGAAAUUAUUUUGUCAUGAAUACUGCUUAUCUCGUUAUUAAAUCGUAGUCGUUCAUAAAUACUUUAUUGUCGGGCGUCAUCUGGCGUGGAACUUCAUCAUCUUUAUGAACGAAGAAAUGCUUGUCUUUAUGACGCCCUUUUUCAUCCUGCAAAAAAUUUUUCCCCGAUUUUAAGUCUGCACUAUUUUUAGCGACUUUUUGGUAAGAAUUGUGACCAUUUCACAACUUUUGCAACCUAUUUUCAAAAUCGUCACUUUUUUGAGACUUUCGCGACUUUUGUAACCUGAUAAACAUCCUGCUAUUCUAUGGAAAUUGGCAAAAAUUGAACAGAAAUGAAACACGACAUACUGAUACACAAAAUACAGAAGUCAAGAAAAAUGUGGACAGUUUGGAUUUGUUAUUUGAUAUUGCUCAUGCUGAAGCUUUAAAUGUAAUCAAAGUUAAUGAAGAAAAGAAAUCGUUGAUGAUGCAAUGGGAACUAGGUCAACCUAGAUAUAUUCCAGGCAUUGCUUAUGCGUUACUGAAGAAAGAAAAACAGCAGGCACUGAAACAAAAAGCAGACACUGAAGCACAAAUCACAAUGCAGUAAAAUGGUUGAAAUCCCUGCUUUUUCCAAUGCUGGAAGUUCAGAAACAGGAGAUUAAAAAUUUACUGAAUUUGGAGGAAUUGAUCCGAAUGUUCUGGUUCCACUGGCAAAACAAAAGUUUUCAACACCUCAACUUUGCAUUGCUCUUAAUAGAGCAAAGGUUAGUGGUUGAGAUGCCACACAUACUGACAGCAUGUUUAGAAACAUUGGGAAAAAAUUCGGAAGAAUAUAUUCUCAACAGAAAGUGAUUCCAUGAAUUCCGUAUUGACUCUCGAUUUUGUUCUAAUAUUCAAAAUUAUUACACCAGAUUUGAACGUUGAUGAAAAAGUUGGCCAUCUGCCAGUUGCAGUUACUGGACUAUAUUUAGAUCAGCCGUUGGGAGUUCCUGAAAUUUGAUCAUCAACUGCAUGCUAAAAUGGCAUCUCCCAUCUACAACUCUUUAGAAAGUUGGAACCUCUUUGGAAAAGUACAUGGUUGAUUGGUUGUGUAUUUGAUAAGUACAAUGGCAUCCAACAGUGGUCGCAUAAAAGGAGCAUGGACCAGGGACAUUAAUGGAGCAAAAUCUUGGCUGAGAAAUAUUGUUUCUUCCUUGUCGUCAUCACAUUAUGGAGCUCAUUCUCCAAGCUGCAGUCACUGAGGCUAAAUUAUAUGUCCCAUCAGGUCCAUGAUAUUCUUAUUUUCAAAAGAUUUAAUGAAGCCUGGUCUUCAAUAGAUACACAACAUACUUGAUUGGUCCUCACUUCAUCAUUAAUCAAUAUUUGAGAACAUAUGACUGUGUUUUGGCUAGAAAAAAUCAAUGAAGAUCAUUAGAGGGAAGAUAACCAACAACUUUUGCAAUUAGGUACCUAGUAAUUAUUGUUUUGGGUGGAACUCUACCUGAUGAAGAAAUCACAAUACGCAAACCAGGAGCAUUUGUCAAAAGAUAUUUAUUGCUUGAAAAUAUUUUGAUUUGAUUUUGGGAACAAUUCUGCUUAUCUAAACCUGAGAAAGCUGCUUUGGUACAAAUAUAGGUACUUCUUAGUUCCCUGUUAUAAAAUUAAAAAUUUUUGUGAAGCCAUGGAGUUUGGCGACUGAUCCCUUCUUUGCCACAAUUAAGUAAUGACAUCAAAUAAUUGAGAAACCUGCUGAACUUCUAACAGGAAAAAAGAAAAAUUGCUGAAUACUGCCCGAAGAAAAUUCUGAAUCAUCUCUAUGGUAUCUUAGAGAACAGCGGUUACAUUUUCUUCAUGCAUGAUGAUAUACCUGUCAAAACCAGGAAAAAAUGGGACAAAUUCUUCUGGAUAACUCAUUAGACAAUUCCAAGUAUGUUCAAGAAUCGACUUGUAAAAAACCAUAAAAUUCCACCAUCAGAUCCGCCUUCCUAGAUGAUGAUCUGUCUGAAGUUUUAUUGAGCAGUCAUAAUCCUGCUGUCUGUUCCAAAAAUUGGAAAUUGAUUCAGUUUUUUAGAAUUUGAAUCCACUGGUUGGAAGAAUAACUCUAAAUAUUUAAACGGAAAAAUUAAAGUAAUGUCCCUAAAAAUUGUAAAUGAGGCUGCUGAAUUACUUAGCUGUGAAACUUAUGGAGGACUUCAAAUCUUCAAUAAUAAAAUUACAAAAAACGAGAAUCAAAAACAAUUCUUACUCCAGGUAAGUAAAAAUGAAGCAGCAAACAGGUAACAUAAUUAAUAUGAAAAUCUGGUUUUCAUUAAUAAAGUCAUGUUCAUUCAAUGAAAGCAUUGAAAGCAAUUUUAUAUAUCCUUGUAACUUUUUGAAUUGUUUGCAGGUGGUGAAGAAGUACAGUCAAUCAUAUAAAAACAAAAAUAGAAGUUCAUUGAAAGCUCGGUAUUUUUUUGCAGCCGAAUAAAAUGUUUGAAAAAUUGUGUUUUUUGUAGUAUGUUUAAAUAUAAAAUUUUAAAAAC